rnacentral:lncRNA from 1 species
CCAAAGGGAGCAAAAUUAGAUGAUACAUUUCACAGACCCCAAGAUGACAGAACUUGAAUUCAGGAUAACAGCAUUAAAGCAGUGGGGCAUCUGAAGAUGGCUAGGCAGCAAUAAAACAUCAGAAGAAACCUUGAAUUCAGAAAGCAGAAGAAAGCAGAGAGUGGGCAAAUUAUGAGGAUAAGUCAGAAGCCAUUCCUUGGACUUCUGAACCUUCUGAGAGAACCAUGACGGAGAGCCUUAUCUUUGUCUUCAUUACUUGAACUGGAACCUCCAUUGCCUCAACAUUUAGAAAGAUAUUAGAGGGCUCCACCCAAAGCAUGAGAUGUUCGAUUUCUUGGAAUAACA